rnacentral:tRNA from 1 species
GUUGCCGUGGUCGAGUGGUUAAGGCGAUAGAAUUAAAAUAUUUUGGGAUUUUUCACGCGCAGGUUCGAAUCCUGCCGACAACG